GAUGAACGCUGGCGGCGUGCUUAACACAUGCAAGUCGAACGGAACUACUCCAAUGAGAGUCUUCGGAACGGAUUUGGUUUAGUUUAGUGGCGGACGGGUGAGUAACGCGUGGGUAACCUGCCCUAUACAGGGGGAUAACAGUUGGAAACGACUGUUAAUACCGCAUAAGCGCACAGGAGCGCAUGCUCCGGUGUGAAAAACUCCGGUGGUAUAGGAUGGACCCGCGUCUGAUUAGCUGGUUGGCGGGGUAACGGCCCACCAAGGCGACGAUCAGUAGCCGGCCUGAGAGGGUGAACGGCCACAUUGGGACUGAGACACGGCCCAAACUCCUACGGGAGGCAGCAGUGGGGAAUAUUGCACAAUGGGGGAAACCCUGAUGCAGCGACGCCGCGUGAGCGAAGAAGUAUCUCGGUAUGUAAAGCUCUAUCAGCAGGGAAGAAAAUGACGGUACCUGACUAAGAAGCCCCGGCUAACUACGUG
rnacentral:rRNA from 1 species